CCUACGGGUGGCAGCAGUGAGGAAUAUUGGUCAAUGGGCGCGAGCCUGAACCAGCCAAGUAGCGUGAAGGAUGACUGCCCUACGGGUUGUAAACUUCUUUUAUAAAGGAAUAAAGUGAGGCACGUGUGCCUUUUUGCAUGUAUUUUAUGAAUAAGGAUCGGCAAACUCCGUGCCAGCAGCCGCGGUAAUACGGGGGAUGCGAGCGUUAUCGGGAUUUAUUGGGGUUAAAGGGAGCGCAGGCGGUUUUUUAAGUCAGCGGUAAAAUCGUGGGGCUAAACCCGAUCCUGCCGUUGAUACUGGCGAUCUUGAGUGUGCGAGAGGUGUGCAGAAUGCGUGGUGUAGCGGUGAAAUGCGUAGAGAUCACGCAGAACCCCGAUUGCGAAGGCAGCAUCCCGGAGCACGACUGACGCUCAGGCGCGAAAGCGUGGGUAUCGAACAGGAUUAGAUACCCGAGUAGUC
rnacentral:rRNA from 1 species